UGUGUGUUAGUGGAAGCGUCUGGAAAGGCGCGCGAUACAGGGUGACAGCCCCGUACACAAAAAUGCACAUGCUGUGAGCUCGAUGAGUAGGGCGGGACACGUGGUAUCCUGUCUGAAUAUGGGGGGACCAUCCUCCAAGGCUAAAUACUCCUGACUGACCGAUAGUGAACCAGUACCGUGAGGGAAAGGCGAAAAGAACCCCGGCGAGGGGAGUGAAAAAGAACCUGAAACCGUGUACGUACAAGCAGUGGGAGCCUCUUUUAUGGGGUGACUGCGUACCUUUUGUAUAAUGGGUCAGCGACUUAUAUUCUGUAGCAAGGUUAACCGAAUAGGGGAGCCGAAGGGAAACCGAGUCUUAACUGGGCGUUAAGUUGCAGGGUAUAGACCCGAAACCCGGUGAUCUAGCCAUGGGCAGGUUGAAGGUUGGGUAACACUAACUGGAGGACCGAACCGACUAAUGUUGAAAAAUUAGCGGAUGACUUGUGGCUGGGGGUGAAAGGCCAAUCAAACCGGGAGAUAGCUGGUUCUCCCCGAAAGCUAUUUAG
rnacentral:rRNA from 1 species